GACGAACGCUGGCGGCAUGCCUAACACAUGCAAGUCGAACGGAGAUUACUUCGGUAAUCUUAGUGGCGAACGGGUGAGUAACGCGUGGGCAACCUGCCCUCUAGAUGGGGACAACAUCCCGAAAGGGGUGCUAAUACCGAAUGUGACAGCAAUCUCGCAUGAGGAUGCUGUGAAAGAUGGCCUCUAUUUAUAAGCUAUCGCUAGAGGAUGGGCCUGCGUCUGAUUAGCUAGUUGGUGGGGUAACGGCCUACCAAGGCGAUGAUCAGUAGCCGGUCUGAGAGGAUGAACGGCCACAUUGGGACUGAGACACGGCCCAGACUCCUACGGGAGGCAGCAGUGGGGAAUCUUCCGCAAUGGGCGAAAGCCUGACGGAGCAAUGCCGCGUGAGUGAUGAAGGAAUUCGUUCCGUAAAGCUCUUUUGUUUAUGACGAAUGUGCAGAUUGUGAACAAUGAUUUGUAAUGACGGUAGUAAACGAAUAAGCCACGGCUAACUACGUGCCAGCAGCCGCCGUAAAAC
rnacentral:rRNA from 1 species